UCUUCCGCAAUGGACGAAAGUCUGACGGAGCAACGCCGCGUGAGUGAUGAAGGUUUUCGGAUCGUAAAACUCUGUUGUUAGGGAAGAACAAGCACCAUUCGAAUAGGGCGGUACCUUGACGGUACCUAACCAGAAAGCGACGGCUAACUACGUGCCAGCAGCCGCGGUAAUACGUAGGUGGCAAGCGUUGUCCGGAAGUAUUGGGCGUAAAGCGCGCGCAGGCGGUUUCUUAAGUCUGAUGUGAAAGCCCCCGGCACAACCGAGGAGGGUCAUUGGAAACUGGGGAACUUGAGUGCAGAAGAGGAGAGUGGAAUUCCACGUGUAGCGGUGAAAUGCGUAGAGAUGUGGAGGAACACCAGUGGCGAAGGCGACUCUCUGGUCUGUAACUGACGCUGAGGUGCGAAAGCGUGGGGAGCAAACAG
rnacentral:rRNA from 1 species